GCCGCCUUAUUUCAAUGGCAGAAUACCCGUUUGAAAGUCGGGAGAUCUUUGGUUCGAAUCCAGGGGGUGGCACCA
rnacentral:tRNA from 1 species